rnacentral:lncRNA from 1 species
GGAGCUAUCUGACUUAUUGAAUGUUGGAAACUGAUUGUGGCCUGACUUUAAUUGCUGUUAGUGUAGUUCUCGAUCUGCAAUGAUAUCACAGUCUGGGAUUGAUCCAUGGGAGGACUUGCAUUCUUGCAGAAAGAUUGUGAUGAUUCGCCUAACAAGUAGUCUGUUUCCUCGCUAUUUUGCUGAGCCAAUGAUUUCUGAUGAAGAGCUUUCAGCUUAGCAAGCUCAUCGGACACUUCCUUCAUGGUUGGCCGGUUUACUCCCAUGCUAUUUAGACACACUUUUGCAAGCUCAGCUACAGCUUCUAUCUCAUCCAUUUCACCUUCAUCAACCGUCUGGAAAUCCAAAAUUUUGAAGAGAUGAUUAUUUUCCAGUGCUGAGAUGAAGUGUUGAAUAACGUUCCGUUUCUCUCCAGACUUGGAAAUGGAGUUUGGCAUCUCUCCAGUGAGAAGCUCCACAAGAACUACCCCAAAGCUAUAGACAUCACUUUGAACGGUUAAAAUACCCGUCAUAAGAUACUCAGGAUCCAGGUAGCCUAGAGUCCCUUGUAUUUUUGUAGCUAAGAUAUUGGUUUGGCCAGGAGACAUCAGCACCGAAGCUCCAAAAUCUGCUACUUUUGUUGUGUAAUUAUUGUCUAGAAGUAUGUUUACUGACUUGACAUCUCCAUGAAUAACUGGAGGGUCUGCCAGAGAGUGCAAAUAAUCAAGCGCAAGCGCAGCCUCCGAUGCUACCCUCAAACGAUUGGUCCAGGAAGCCAAUAUCCGGGAACCUUUGUCGUGGAUGUGCUUGGAAAGAGUUCCAUUUGAGAUGAACUCAUAGACCAGUAAUGGAACUUUGGUCUCUAAACACAGUCCCAAGAGCUUUACCACAUUCUUGUGAUUGACCUGUGAAACAAUGCUCAUUUCCUUUUGAAAUUCCUCAUUCAUCUGAGCUUUGUCCACCCCUUUGGACUUCUUGACAGCAACCACUGUAUUAUCUGUUAAAGCUCCACUGUAAACGGAACCAAAACCACCCUCCCCGAGUUUCCGAUCAUCAGCAUAAUUGUUGGUUGCCUUUGCCAGCUCUGCCUCACUGAAAAUCCUUACUCGUUGAUUCUUUAAAAUUUUUCCCCCGUUCUCUUGGAAGUUCUUCUCCUUUAUUCUUUUCGUGCAGAUCAUGUAGAGUAGCAGACAAAUAAGUUCUCUUGGAAAUAACCACAAGGAAAAUGCUUGCGCCAGCAGCUGCAAGCAAAUGACAAAGAAGGACGUUACUUUCAAAAUCAAACCAAGGGAAAAUAUUUAUUUUCUAACUUUUUACUAUUGUAAUUGAUCGAAAGCCUCCAUAUGAGCUUCGUUAAUCCAACUAAAUUCGUGAUGUUUUAUUUUUUGAUUUAUUUUGAUCCCUCGAACUAUAAAGUCAAUUAAAAUCAAGCCUUCGUUAGCCUUCCGAUCAAAAUCUACCUCAAAUGUCGUGGUCUCCUAAACACCAAUAGCAGCCAGAAGGAGAAGAAAUGAAGCGAAGCUAAAACAAUUGAUUGAAGAACACGAGAGAGAGAGAUAGAGAGAGAGUUUUUAAUCAAACCAUUAAUUUAUAAAAAUAAUUAAGUUUAACCCCUUUUUAAUUUCUUUUGUUUGCAAAUCAUGUGAUUCCACGUGUCUCCUUUAAGUAAUUUUUUAGAAGGCACCUAUGUUCAUGAAAACCGUGUACACUUUAUAUAAACCCUGUAUGUGUUUUAUAUAACCUUCAUAAAUUAAUAACUUUUAUUAAAUAAUAUUUUUGUUUAAACCCAACUUAAAUUUGAAGUUUAAACAAUGUAUCUUAAUUAAUUAAUUAAUUUUUAUGGUUUGAAAAGAUAUUAAUUUAUAAUGGUUUAAUUGUAGUUUAAAAAAUCAGUAAUAAAAAAUAAAAAAGUUCAGACCUUUAAUUACUAAUUGAUGGCCUAAGCACGAAAACAUGAGAAUACAAUAAAAAAAAAAAAAAAAAACAGGGUAUUCACAUUAGAAUCAAGAGAUUCAUGAAUACUCUUAAGUACUAAGCCCGUGAUUUGAUGCGGAGCCCAACUAUCUUUUUACACAGAAAAUAAUAUUUAAGUAUUGUAAGUGUAUUUUUUACAAAAUAUAUAUAUAUAUAUGACUUGAAUUAUAGAUCCAGCUAAAAUAAAUAAGCUAAUUUUAAUUUAAUUAGAUGAAAAAAAUUAAUAAUAGAUGAAUCAACAUCCCAUUAAAUAUAUAUAAAAAAAUAACAUAAAAAACUGAAUUUCUAUACUUACAAGAGAAUGCAAAGAAAGCUAAUUACCUGCAAUAAUUGUGAUGAUACCAACUCCUUUACAACCUGUUUUACCAUCACCGUACUUGCCAAGUGGACAUCGACACUUGUAAUCUCCAAUCACAUUCUCGCAAGUACCUUCUUCACAAGCGUUUUUUCCUCGAACCUUGCAUUCAUCUAUGUCUGUUGUAAAUGUUAAAAACAUUAGCAAACAAAACCUGAAUAUACAAAUAACCCUUCAUUAUUAGUGAUUAAAUCAUGUCAAAACGCAAUAACCAGGUUACCUCGGCAUCCUUCUCGGAGAUAAGGAUUUCCUCCGAACCCUUCAUUGCAUGAGCAACGAUAUCCUUGACCAAUCUCAGGGUAGGUGCAAUUUGCAUUAGUGCCACAAGCAUAUGCAGUUUGAUUAGCUUUAGCCUGUUCGCACGUCUCAUUUUUAACUACCCAUUCAAUCACAGUAUCUGUUCUAUAUGCAUCAUCUCCAUCUUUUGGCUUGCGAGAGAGCGGCCAAUCUGAAAGCUUCAAGGAGCUUCUGUCCACUAAGAAGGCAAUUCCACAAGGAUUGAAGUCCGAAACAUUCGUGUGGUUGUUAUAACUGGAAGUUGAAAUGUUAAGUGAUUUGAGGCCCUUGGGGAUUGAGGUUUGGCAGCAUCCAGAACCUGAGCAAGGAUUUCCAUCUGACAUGUUCACGUUUUCGGUGCAUAUGGAGAGACAUGCAGCUCCGUAUGUACGAUCUUUGUUGAUCACCUGAGCAAAGGUAUCACAACCAAUAGCUGUGAAUACAUUUUGGGUGUCUGAGAACAUGAAGGGGCCUGAUCCAAGGGUAACAGAAGAUUUUGUCCUGUUCCUUGCUGUUUCGUUAUAGCAGUCGAAAGCAGUGUAUAUGCCUACAGUGAAUGUGCCGUUCAGUACUGAUAUUUUGCGAACAGGAACGUUUCCAAUCAACAGUUGAGGUUGCCCAUCAGCGCCUGAAGUGCAGUUUAGAAGGAAGUCGUCGUUCAUGGCACAGCUUUCUUCUCCAAUCCCAAAUGGGUAAGGAACACUAACAUCCCCACACUUGUCUUGGCAGCCAGGUUUUACAUCUGUCCUUGCUGUUGAUGCUGCAGCUGGACACGAUAAUAGCGACAUCAUCAGCAAAAACACCCACAUGACUCUGCACCUCCCAACUUAAUAAUUAAGUAGCAAUUGAGCCCUAGAAGAUUUGUAUAAAGAAGCUCCACUCUAACUCUCUCCCGUCCCCCACUAACUUCUGCAACUUCUUUUCUUGUAGAGGACUUACAUAUAUAUAAGCUAAUUAACACAGACCACUAUAACAAUAGUUAACACGACUAAGUCCAAGACUACAGGGUCGAUAGAGUCUUGAGAGUCCUUUCCUAGAUCUUUCUUUUCAGUUUUUAUUUCUCAAAGCAAGAAAAAUAUACAUGUAGAAGACUCCUAGUAAUUUCCCUCCCAAAUGUAUACUUUUCCUUCGUAAUUUCUCAUGUGGAAACUGGAGAGAGAUGUCUAGCCCAUAAUCAAUUAAAGCUUUCAUUCACUUGAGAUUUUGUUCAUUAAUUAAUUGUUAAUUGACUUCAUUUGUUAGUUUACUUGUCCAUUUAUUUAUUGAUCAAUUAUACCUAAAUCUUUCAAUGUUUUCACGCUCUUCGUAUUGAAGCUUUAUUAAUCUUAAGAAAUUAUUUAAUUGCUGAUCGAAGAUAUGAUGAGAUAGUUAAAAAUCAAGAAAUCAUUGAAAUUACAAAAUAGAGGAAGAAUUCACAUAACAUUGACCAAAUCAAAGUCUGCAAUUACUAAUGACAUGUGUAGACAAACCCCAAUGAAGCCAAAUUAAUCACAACCGCCAGCCUCGACAUUGGGAACCUAUAUAGGAAGAAGUUACGGAACAGUGCCCAAAUCAAAGUCUACAAUUACUAAUACAUGGAAACCCAAUGAAGCCAAAUCACAGCCACCAACCUCGAUGUUUGGGGUAUGCAGAGUAAUUAAUUAUUAAGGAGAUUUGUUUUUUUUUUAAUUCAUUUUUUAAAAUUAAUAUUAAUAGAAUAUGGUUUUCAAAUUAAAUAUAUUAAUGUAAUAAUAUUGAGUAUGUAUUCUUAAAAUUAUUAAAAAAAAUUAAUCUCAAGUGACUUUGAAACUAAUUAAAGAUAUAUUGUUAAGGGAAAAAUAAACACAAACACCAAAGUAAAUACUCCCUCUUACAUAUUCCAAAUCCAAUAAAUGCAUCCUCGAAAUGUAAAUGUGGUUUGAUCACGUUUUUUAAAAUAUUUAAAGUUUUUUAUUUUUAUUUUUAAUAAUAUCGAAAAGUUCAAUUUAUUAAAUGAAAGAAUUAGUACAAAAUGAGAGCCACACAUAUUGCAGUGACCUUUUUAAAGUGCUUGUUGUAUAUGUGCUUUGAUUAUGUUUUUUUAAAUUUUUUAAAGUUUUUUAUUUUUAUUUUUAAUUAAUAUUUUGAAGUAUUGAUAUAAAAAUAUUUUAAAAUAAAAUAUAUUUUAAAAAACACUCCCCAUACAAAUAACAAAUAGUAGGUCCCAACAAUCACAAAGUCACUCACAAUGGGAUUAGGCCUUUAUUUUUGGAUUUUAAAAUUAUUUUUAAAAAAAUUUAAUAUAAUUUAAUUUUUUUGUAUUUUUAAAUUAUUUUGAUGUAAUGAUAUAAAAAAUAAAUUUUUUAAAAAAUAAAAAUAUUAUUUUAAUGUAAUUUUAAAUAAAAAAAUAUUUUAAAAAAUAAUUAUAAUCAUACUUUCAAACACGCUUUAAAAUCAAUCGAUGAAAAAUAAGGAGGGGCCUUUGGGUCCAUGGCUUGGCAAAAUCUAACUGGCAAGGUAGUGACCACCUUCAGGUCAAAGGGUUUAUUUUUGGGACCACUUGGAUGGCAUCCAUUAGGGGUGUUCAAAAAAACCGAUCAACCGAUUAAACCAAAAAAACCGAGAAAAAAUUAACCGAAAAAAUCGAACCAAUAGAAAAAACCAAAAAAAUCGAUUAAAAAAAUUAAAAAAACCGCCCGGUUCGGUGCGGUUUCGGUUUAAGAAGGCUUAAAUCGAUUGAACCGGACCAAACCGAACCAGUUUAAUUGAAUCUAAAAAAUAUAUAAAAGGAAACAUCCUAAACAGCUAAACCUAAUAAUAAAUACCCCCCACCCCCCACAAAAACUUUCCAGCCCGUCCCCCUCCCCCUUCCCUUUUCCCCCUUUCCCCUUCCCUUUCCCUGCUCUCUCUUGCUCUCUCUCCCCCCCCCUUCCCCUUUUCCAGUGGCCUUACCCUUCCCUCUCUCCCUCUCCCUCUCCCUCUCCCUCUCCUCUGUGCACAAGGAAGGCUUAAAGCAACUCAUUUUCUCUUAUAUUGUUACCUUUCUACUCUCUACUUUACGGGAUACUAUUGAAAUCUUUGUUAACAUGUAGUUGUUCUAAUAUGGAUAGAUCCAGUGAUUAUGAUUCAAUUAAGGGAGAUCUCUCAGAUCUCAACCGAAAAACUUGGAUUCAAAGUUUUCAACAAGGAUUUUUUUGAAUGUGAUUCGGCCAAGUUUGUCAAGUGAUUGUGAUUCGGCCAAGUUUUCUCUUAUUUAAUUGAUUUCGGUUUUUCUGGUUUCUAAGGCUAAAAAACCGACCCGAACCAAACAAAACCGGUUCGGUUUGAACCGGUUCUCGAUUCGGUUCAGGUUAUAUUAACAAGGAAUAGUAUGUUCCCGUUCGGUUGAAUUUUUAUGUUAAAACCGGACCGAACCGGACCAUGAACACCCCUAGCAUCCAUUAUCGUGGAAAACGCACAUCAACCCAUUCGGCUUUUGGAUCUUCUUGUGGAAAAUUAAGGGCAGAGCUAUCAGCACAUAAAUACUCGUUGGGUCAAGGGUAGAGCUAUGAGUGUGAAUAUUGUCGAUGUCUUGAUUAUAUUCCUUAAUAAUUUUUAAAGGAUCCCAAAGCAAGAAAUGCUUGAGAUAACCAGGUGACUGAAUGAGAGAAAAACUAGGGAAUUAUUUAUUGGUAAUAUUUACUAUUAUCACUUUCAUAACUUAUUUUUGAGUUAUUCUUCAUUUCAUAUUUUAAAAAACAUAAAAAACAAUAUUAUCAAAAUAAUAUACCAAUGAAAAAAGAAUGUCAAAACACUCAAAAAAUAGUUAAAAAUUGGUUGAGGAGGUUUAAAAAUACAAAGAUCGAAAUUUGACGGUAUUUUAUUGACUAAUGAGAGCCUUGUUGAUAAAGAAAAUUCAAUUUGAGGAAGAAAAGUUCAAAAUCAGAUGUUUAUGGACUCAAUUAAAUUUUAUUGAAGGUUUAAUUGAAUUUAUGGAGGUUUUGAUUGCAAGAAAAAAUGAUUUUGGAGUUAAUUUGGGCUUUAAUUGGAAUAAAUUAAAGUUUCGGGGUUAAAUUAUAAUUUUUGAGAGUUAAUUUGGUCAAAUCAGGGGCUUACUUGCAUAAAUUUUGAAGUUUGAUGGCCAAUUAGGAACUUAAUUGAAGAAAUCCCAAACCAAGGACCAAAAUAGAAAAGGCGCGUAAAUAUAAGGGCUAUAAUAAAAACUGAAUCAUGGGCUAAAUUGAAAAAAUUCGAGACUAAGGACCAAUUUGGAAAAGACAAACAACUUCAGAGCCGACGAUUGAAUUUGGUAGGGAUACAAUUGAAUUGAUUUUUAAAAUAAAAAUUGCAAUUGAGGACUAGAUUGAACAAAUCGCAAAUUGAGGAUUGAUUUGUACUUUGACAUAAGCUUGGUGUCGUUUUCAUUUUAAUGAAAUGGCGUGUUUUGUUCAAAACGGAGUCGUUUCAUACACUGUUCAUAAAAAGGGAAAAGCCCAAAACGGUGUAAUUUUGAAUGGCACUGUAUCCUUUUCUUCUUCCCCUGGAUGCGCAGAAAAUAGGGGAAUAAGAAGGUUUUGUUCCCCUGUUUUCACCGACAUUUCUCCUCUCCCUCUCUCUCCUAAAACUCAAAAAGACGCCGAUCCAAGUACCCCACUUGCCUGAAUACUGACCGAUGGCCUACCACGGACCAAAAAACAGAGGGGAUAGGCCCCAGGUGGUGCCCGUCCACCCUCCCUUGUCCGCUGACCGGACAGAGGCAGGGUAUUUUCACCACCCUUCUCUUCCUAUAAAUACAGAGGCAGAGAAGAGGCAUGGAAAAAAAAACAAAGGGAGAAAGAACAGAAAAAAAAAGAGGGAGAGAAACAGAAGGAGAGAAAGAAAAGAAUAAAAAAUAGAGCAGAAAAAAGAAAAACAAAACAGGGGAGAGAGGAAAAAGAAGAAGAGAGAGAAAGAGUAGAAAAGGAGAGGGGGAAGACCGAAAAAGAAAAAAAAGAAGGAAAGAAGAAGGGGAAGAGAGAGCAAGGCAAACGUGGAAACAAAAUAAAAAUGGGAGAAGAAAACAGGGACAGAGGUGGCUAAAGGAGAAGAAGCGGCAUCGCCUGUAACCACCACAGCGCACCAUCGCGAACCACUAGCAACGCCACUGCUUCAGGUAACUGCCUCCUCCCCACCAUUUGUUUCCCUACCAGAGUCACCUACAUGUUUGCAUGCAAAACAUGAAUAUUUCAUGUUCUGCUGCAAAAUGCAGUGUGGGCUGGUUAUUGUGCUAAUGCACAGUAACCAGCCUAUUUGGGCCUAGGCCAGGACAUCACCGUAUUUUUACACCUUUUUAUAUCAGUAUCGGAAUAUAUUUUUAUGUUGUUAAAAAUACAAAAUCCGGUAUUUAAAUACACGGUUUUCGUCAACUUAAAAAAUUUUUUGAAAAAAAUGUUUUUGUGCAUACAGCCAAGUGUCUCAAAGCUAAAAAAUCAUUUUGUGUUUUUCAUACACCAAAAAAUAAUGUUUGAGCAUUCAUUUUGGCUUUAAUAACUAGUUUAGUAAAAUCAAGAGAACAUUGACCAAAAUUUCAAAAACAAUAAAAAUUUUAUUUUUUUACAAUUUUAUGUGUAAAAUAUAUUCUUGAUAUUAAAAAAGUUAUUUUUUUGUUAACAACAUAGAACAAUUAGGUUUUACCCCAUUAAGAUAAGAAUCUCCUUACAGAGCAGGGCUUUUCUUACAACUUAGAGAGACAGGACUAACAAUUAGAAAUCACAACAAGACUUUAGAUUUUAUCAGACAACAAAACAAUGCAACUUACCUUAGGUAGGGCGUAGUUGGGGUGCUAAUACUUUCCCGUUACGCAACUAGUCUAUGUACCCGAUCUUUGAGACCACUUAGGGUUUCUAGUGACCAGAAUACUAGGUGGCGAUUCUCAUUCAAAUUUUCCACUGAUAAGAGAUAAAAAUUCAUUAUCUCUUCAUAUUUUGCCAAAUACACCAAUACAAUUUUUCAUGAGAGUGGACGAUCGCCGUGACGCCGCACACGUGCGACAAUCACUUUAUUCUUGGUGGAGCAUUUUCAAAUUAGAAGUUUUCAAGUCUGAAAAUAAAGUGUGGAAUUAAAGAUGUGGUGAGUGUUGUACUACUAAUUCAAUAUUGAAGAUUUAUAAAGAAAGAAGUGAAUUGACAAUUCAGGUAAGGCCAAGUUCAAGAAAUAAUUUUUAUUUUUUUUUAUCGAUAAAAGAAAUGUUAGUCCUCGUGCAAGGAUUUUUAAGCUGUAGGAUAAUAUUUUCGGCAUUUUAGUUUCUCAAUCUUAAUAUUAAAAAACAAAAUAUUCAAUUGCUUUGUUAACAAAUUCCCUUUGUAGUUUAUAAGUAACAAUGAAAAUAUGUCGAUUAUAUGCCUUGAUGAUAGGAAUUGAUAUUUGUGUUUUGGUAGGACUGGGAUGCUGGAAUUUCAACUUUUCUUCCCUUCUUUGCAGGUGGACUUUCAACUCCGGAAGAAGAAGAAGAAGAAUAGUGCAUGUGGAAAUGAUAUCAUUUUGGUAUGGGAAUGACCAUUUCAAUUUUGAUCCUUGAAGUUUUGAAAUUUUGCAUUUAAAUCCUUGAUCUUUUAAUUUUAAAUUUUAACCCCUUUAAAAUUAAAUUAAAAGCAAAUAGAUCAAAAUUGAUUUAUAACAUCCAUAAUAUUGGAAUGCAUUAUCUUAAAGAUUUAUCAAACAUGUACUUUUGAAGUGAAGUUAAUAAAAAUUAUACUCCUUUUUCUUUGCUUAGUUUUUUCCUAUUAGAUUUUACUUUGCAAAGUUUUAAUGAGACAAUUUGAUACUUUUAUGAAUUAUGAAGUAUUUAAAUAUGAAUUUUGAAGUAUUUAUAUUGAACUUUUUAUUAAAUUCUGAAGUAUUCAGAAAUUAAACAAAAAUAUUAUAAUUUUUUUCUUUCACUUAGAUAUUUUUCCAUUGGGUUUUAAAUCUUUCAAUGUUUCCACGCUCUUCGUGUUGGAGCAUGAUUUAUUAAUCUUAAGAUAUUAUUUAACUGCUGAUCGAAGAUAUGAUGAAAGAGUUAAAAAUCAAGAAAUCAUUGAAAUGAAGGAGCUAUUACAAAAUAGAGGAAGAAUUCACAAUUACUAAUAACGUGUGUAGACAAACCCCAAUGAAGCCCAAUUAAUCACAGCCACCAACCUCGACAUUGGGAACCUAUAUAGGAAGAAGUCACGUAAUAUGGACCAAAUCAAAGUCAACAAUUACUAAUACACGUGUAGACAAACUAUGGAAACCCCAGUGAAGCCAUAUCACAGCCACCAGCCUUGACGUUGGGGGUACGCAGGGUAAUAAAUAAUUAAGGGGAUUUGUUUGUUUUUUUUAUUCAUAUUUUAGAAUUAGUAGUUAAUAGAAUUAGAUUUUCUAAUUAAAUACAUUAAUGUAAUAAUAUUAAAUAUGUAUUCUUAAAAUUAUUUAAAAAAACUUAAUCUCAACUAACUUUGAAACUAACUAAAGGUGCAUUGAUUGUUGAGGGAAAAAUAAACAUAGACAGCAAAUAAUUACUCCCUCUUACACAUUCCAAAGCCAAUAAAUGCAUCCUCGAAAUGUAAUUAAUUAAAAUUAUUAAAACGUGACCAUGACGUAGAGAUGGGAAUUAUUUGGAAACAUCAUCUUAAGAAAGGAAAAAGCAAGGCAAGGUGAAUUAUCUAAAUCUAGUCUAAUAUUUAAAAUUUAUAACGUGUGAAAUCCUGAUUUUGGGAUGAAUUAGCUCAAUUAAGAAGCUUAACUCUAAAUAAAUUUAAUUUUGAAUAAAAAAAUUAUGAAAAAAAUAUUAAUAAAAAACUUACAAAAGAAAAAAAACAACAAAAACAAUGAAGAUAAAGUUUGAUUGGAAUUUUUUUUUAAAUGAUCCUAAAUAAAAUAAAUAGCAACUAAAAUAAUAAGGACUAAAUUUGAAAGUUGAAAAAAUUAUAGGGGGAAAUUGAAUUAAAAAACAUUUGUAAUUUGAUAGAUUAUUUAUCAAUUAAAAAAAAAACAGACAGUGAAAUUAAAAAACAUUUGUAAUUUGAUAGAUCAUUUAUAUAUUUAAAAAUUGUAAGGGAGUUAAAUUGAAAAAAAAAUUAUAAUUUAAUAAAUUAUUUAUAGAUUAAAAAAUUAUAGUGGUGUGAAAUCGAAAAACACUUGUAAUUUUAUAGCUCAUUCUAAAAUAAAAAAAGUAUUAAUCAAAAGGAUAUGAACCAAAUGUGAAGAAAAAAAAUUAAAGAGGGUGUUGUGAAUUUUUGAAUGGGUGACAUAAAAUUUGUGGAGAGAGAAGGGAAAAAAGGAAAAGAAAUGGACUCUGAUGUCAAACUAACACACUACUAUGUAAAAAGUGCUGAGAUCUUUUAAACGCCACCUGAAAAGCUAUUUUUGGUGGCCGGACAGUCCUGCACGCGCGGCCUAAAUGAUGCGAGGACCACUCACACACUGGCUAAUGCGUUGCAUGUAUAUGCCAACAAUUUGUUUUUUUAAUAAUAUUUAAUAUAUAUUUAUUAUAAUAAUAAUAAUAAUAAUAAUAAUACCCAAAAAAACCUCAAAAUCUACAACAAAACCAAUAUCAGAUGAAUAAAAUAACAGAGUUAUACUUUUUGGGUCUCAAAAGAUACCUAAGUUAUUAACUAUUUUGAAAAAAAUAAAAGGGCAAAAACACCCCCAAGACUAAAGUAUAAGAGUUUUGUAUUCCAAAGCCAUUGUAGUAAUUUUACUUUGUAAAAUAAAAAUAAAAUGAUAAAUAUAACUUCAUAUAAUAUGUUAAAUACAUGUUAAAAAGACAGUUUUACAUUCAAAGCUUAAUUAGUUUAUUGUCAUUUUAGUCUCCGAACACAUUCUUGUGAUUGACCAGCAAAACAAGGCUACUUUCCUUUUGAAAUUCCUCGUUCAUCUAAGCCAUGUUUGCCCCUUUAAACUCAUUGACUGCAACCAAGGUCUUAUCUGCUAAAACUCCCAAGUUUCUGAUCAUCAACAUAAUUGUUGGUUUCUUUUGCCUCACCGAAAAUCCUUACUCGCUGAUGCUUUAAGCCACUCCCUCGUUUCCUCUGAAGUUUUUCUCCUCACUUUUUUUCUUUUCCUGCACAUCAUGUAGAAUUGUAGACAAAUGAUUACAAGGAAAAUUGUUGCCCCCCAAUAGCUGCAAAAAAAUGUCAACGAGGGAUGCGCGUAACUCACAAAACGAACCAAUGGAAAGGAUACAUUUACUAAAUUGUUACCAAGUGAUGAGCAUUUGGAUCUCCUCGGGAACCUGAGAAGAUUCAAAUCCAAUUAUUUUCUAUUUUAUUGUUUUACAGUUUAGAAAGAAGUCGUCGUUCAUGGCACAGCUUUCUUCUCCAAUCGCAAAGGGGUAAGGAACACUAACAUCCCCACACUUGUCUUGGCAGCCAGGUUUUACAUCUGGCCUUGCUGCCGCCACCGGCCGCAACAAUAGCAACAUCAUCAGCCAAGACACCCAACUUGUGUGACUUAAACAAACCAUCUCGCUCUAAUUUGUGUGAACUCUUUUCCUGGUAGAGAAUUUAUACUGCUACGGGAAACUAUUAAAUCCAUCACACCAAGAAAGUAAAUUCUAGAAAAAAAAAUAAUAAAACAUAACAGAUGGAGAACAGAUUCGGUCGAUCGAUGGAGACUUAACAAUCUGCUGCAACAAGUUUUCAACGUAUUCUCUGUUUUUUUUUUUAAUCUUCUUUUCACAACUGUAACUGAUCAUAAAAAAUGACUUAGAUAUAUUUAUUGAAGUCCAUCGUUUAGUUGCAGACAGCAAUGUCUUAAUCAAAUAGCCAACUGCAAUAGGAUAAACAAAUUUAUUACAAAAAACUGCGAAAUUAAAAACAACUUGUUUCAAGAAUUAAAACCCAUCAACAUCAAUAAUCAAAUAGUUAGUAUUCCAAGAUGUUAUAGGGACGGAAACAAUAAGAAUGAAUGAAGACAACUGAAACCAGAACCCACUUGGUAGUAGAGACGGAGACAACAUCUCUUUCUUUUUUCUUUUUUUUUUGUCUGUCUCCAAAACAGUUUUCAAGCCAAUUUCAUCUUUUUUUAUAUAAAAAAUAGCCGGUAAACAUGUCCGAAAAAUAAGGCAAAGCUUGGAUGGGAUUGAUUAAAAGAGUAAUAAUUUUAGAUCCAACCCAACGGAUGGAUCAAGUUCAAGUUAAAAAGUGUAGUUUUAUAGGAGGUUAGCUGACUAUGUUUUGUCAUUGCAGUACAGUGACUGAGCCCUCCAGCACUGAUAUAUUGCGAACAGGCAUGUUUCUUCCGAACAACAAUUCUCUCUCUCUCUCUCUCUAAAUUCUUCAACUUCUUUGCUUGUAGAUGUAUUUAAUUAAGACAGACCACCAAGAACACAUUACUAAUAUGACUAGUUCCAAGACGACCGGGUCAAUGGAGCCCUGACAGUCCUUCCUCGCAUCUUCCCUUUUUUAAUUUUAGCAAAAACACAGCUAAGUCAAGUCGCCACACGGGCUCCUAAUGUCCUUCCACAUGUAUAAUUUUCCUUUGUAAUUUCUCAAGUGGAAAGUGAAGAGAGAUGUUUAAGCUAUAUAUGUUUAUUCCAUAAUAAUCAAUUAAAACUUGCACUUCAUAUUUUUUCAUUAAUUACAUUAAUUAUUUGUUAAUCGACUUCAUUUGUUUAUUUUGCCUGUCCAUUUAUUUGAUGAAUUAUAUGUUAAUCGACUUCAAUGUUUAUUUUGCAUGUUUAAGCUAUAUAUGGGUCGGCCCCCUUGCAUUAGCACAACACCAAGUCCGAUACCUGAGGCAUCACAUUCUACUAUGAAGCUUUGGUUGAAAUCUAGUAGUGCUAGGACCGGGGGGGUUGACACUGUCUUUUUUAAUUGCUCAAAGGCUUGGUCUGUUUCUGAACCCCAUUUAAAGGCCCCUUUUUCAGUAGUUUGGUCAAGGGGCCUGCAAUCACCCCGUAAACCUUGAUGAACCUGCGGUAGUAGCCUGUUAACCCUAAAAAACCUCUUAAUGAUUUGAGUGUGUUUGGUUUAGGCCACUUGAUCAUUGAUUCUACCUUGCUGGGGUCAGCAUGCACUCCUUGUCCUGAUACGAUAUGCCCCAAGUAUUCGAUUUCACUGCUUGCAAAUUUACAUUUGGACUGUCUAGCAAAUAGCUUAUGUCGAACUAAAGUCUCAAAUACCAUCCUUAGAUAUCUCCCAUGCUCUUCCACAUUAUGGCUGUAGACUAGAAUGUCAUCAAAGAAAACCAGCACAAAUUUUCUGAGAUAGGGUCGAAAAAUAUCAUUCAUCAACCCUUGAAAAGUGGAAGGGGCAUUUGUGAGGCUGAAAGGCAUCACCAGAAAUUCAUAGUGCCCUUCGUGAGUCCUAAAAGCUGUCUUGGGGGUAUCUUCUUCCUUCAUUCUAAUCUGGUGGAAGCCUGAUCGGAGGUCUAACUUGGAAAAAAUUUGAGAACCAUGGAGUUCAUCUAAUAAUUCUUCCACAACUGGUAUGGGAAAUUUGUCCUUUACAGUCUCCUUGUUGAGGGCACGGUAGUCCACACACAUUCUCCAGGACCCAUCAGCCUUCCUAACUAAAAGGACUGGUGAUGAAAAAGGGCUUUGGCUGGGUCUUAUAGUACCCAUGGCUAACAACUCCUUGAUUAGUUUUUCGAUCUCAUAUUUUUGGUAGUAGGGGUAUCUGUAAGGACGUACACUUAUUGGAGAGGUACCUUCUUUCAACACUAUAGGAAUAUGAUCAUGUGUUCUGCUAGGUGGAAUUCCUUUUGGCUCUUGAAAUACUUCCAUGAAUUCUAGCAACAGAUUCUCAAUCUGUUCUGGAAUUUUAUUAUGAACUGAUCCCAGCUCCCAAAUUUGAAAAAUUAGUCCCUCUUCGACUCUCCUCAAUUCUUGUAAGAAGGUUGGACUGCAGUCCACUUCUGAAUUCUCCACUCCCAUUCCACGAAUUAGGACCCUCUUUCCCUCCUUUUGGAAUUCCAUUUGUAAGGCUGAAAAGUCCCAAAGAAUGGGCCCUAAACCCUUGAGCCACUGAAUACCUAGUACCAUAUCGCAUCCUCCCAGUUGUAUGACAUAAGCCCAAGUGAAAAACUGAUCUCCAUGUAUCAUUAGUUUGAUAUCUGAGCAGCUUCCCUCACUCCACAACUUGGAACCAUCUGCAAUGUUUACUCCAAUAGGUUUGUGUUUGAGAACCUUCAUUCCUACUCUUCUUGCUACCCUUGGAUGUAUGAAAUUAUAUGUACUUCAUGUGUCAAUUAAGGCCAUAAAAUUAUGGCCACUCAGCUUAACUGACACCCUCAUAGUUUUAGGAUUGGGAUUUCCAAUGAUUGCAUGAAGGGAUAUGCCGAUUCCCUCCUUGCCUUCUUCCUGAGGUCUCCUAGAUCAAUCAGGUCUUCAGGAAUAAAAUUCUUAUCCUCCAUCUCCUCCUCUAAUUCCUCUAUCAAGAAUAUUUUGGGACCUCCACACCUAUGGCCAGGUCCCCACUUGCUGUCACAUUUAAAGCAAAGCCCCUUGUCUCUCUUUUCCUUCAUCUGUGCUGGAGUGAGUCUCUGUACCAGCACUGGUUUAGUCUCAGCCCAGGGCUGAGUUGGUGUUGGGUUUCAGCCUUGAAACCCCGUAGUACUAGGUCUCCAAGAUUUUCUCAUGAUUGUCAGAUUUCCUCUUGCAUCCUUGCUAACCCAUAAGCAGCCACUAGAUUAUAGGGGUUUAGCAUCCUAACCCCCAUUCUUAUCUCCUCCUUCAAUCCACCUAGGAAGCAGCUGAGCCUGUGUGAGUCAGACAGUCCUCUGACCCGAUUUGAAAGCAUCUCAAAUUGGGUUUUGUAGAGCUCUACUGAUGACGUUUGUUUAAUGCUUAUGAGGGCCUCCAUGGGGUCAUCAUAAAAAGAGGUUCCAAAACGGAUUUGGAGGGCCUUAACGAAGGCUUCCUAACUGGUAAGAAUUCCAGUUUCUUCUAGUUCUUGAUACCAUGUUAUGGCCUUUCCUUCCAUGUGAAAGCUAGCUAUAAAUAGCCUGUGUUGUGCUGGAGUGUUGUGAAAGUUAAAGAAUUGAUUGGCCUUGUAUACCCAACCAAUAGGAUCAUCUCCAUUAAACCCGGGAAACUCUAAUCGGAUUGACUUGAGCUGAACCUGCUGAAUUCCUUCCUGGGGUACUACUUCGUGCCUUGUAUUUCCAUUAACUGACCUGGUGGGAGAAUUGGGGGGGGGGGCACCCAUGGGCCUUUUUCCGUGGGCCUUGGCCAUCUGGUCCAUCAUGGUAGACAUGUUUCUUAAUUGAUGAACUAUGUCCUCCAAUAUUUGCUGUUGAUUCUGCUGGUUUUGUUGUUGCGCCUCCUGUUGUUGUUUCAUCCCUGAUACUGUUUCUAUCAGUUGUGAAACCCUUGUUCCUUCAGCCAUCCGAGAAUCGUGGCUCUGAUACCACUUGUAAUGGUCUUAGUAACUUAAGGGAAAGAUUAUUAUUAUUGCUUUUCUUGAACAUGAGCCUUACAGGUAAAAUUCAGGGAAAUUGAAACAAUUGAAGGGAAAUAAUCUAAGGAAAUUGAAUAGAAAUAACAAUGCGAUGUAAUAAACCCUAAUCUAGAUUUUCUGGGCAGCUUUGAGGUAGCCCGGGCCUCCUGGGUGAAUGAGAUUUGCUUCAAAGCAAUUUACUGCCUCUCUGCAGCCCCUUUUUCCCCCUUUUAUUGACAUUCUUGGUCAGAUGAGAUUUCGGAAUAAUAGAUUGGCUUGCCAGCUGUCUUUAUUUAUCUGUAUUUUAUUUGGACUCUUUUUCUUCUCUCAAACGGUGUCGUUUGCCUUUGAACUUAUUCCCUGCCAGCUGUUAGCCGCAAGGACUUCCUCAUCUCAGCCCUCCAUGUAAGUACCACUUUAACCGAUCUUGACCAUACACAUGCUAACUUUAUCUUCUUUGCUGCAGGUAGUCUUCUACAACACGCCUCCCUCAUUUCUUCUCCGGCUUCAACUUUGGUUCUGUUCUUUCAUGCAGCCGGACUGUUACAGCUGCAUUGUUGAUUUUGUCUAAAAUUGCUAAGAAUUUAUGCUCCCUUCUUUUUUUUUAUUCUCCCUAUCAUAUUCCAGAUUCUGGCGUCGGUGAACAGUACUUAAAAAAAUUUCCCACUCUAGCAUUGGUAAAUAUUGCACAAACCCAAAAAAAUAUGACAUUCCUGACUCUAGCAUCAGUGAAUAAGGUCGUAAAAUUUUUAAUGAAAAAAAUAAUUUUUCUAAGCCUUUUUUUUUAUCCUUUUUUAUUAUUUGCUCUUCUUAGACAAGAAUAAUAAUAAUAAAAAAAGCAUUGCACUAUAGCUUUGCAUUUAACAGUAAUGGUCUACAAAUUGAGAAUAUAGCAAGGAAAAAAAAACGCAAAGAAAAGAAAAAAAAUAAAAAAAGCUCGAGGGACCCAUAAAUAAAUUAACGAAGAUCCCCAAAUAUUUCUGGAAUUUUCUAAUAUAAAAAAGAGACUUGUUUGAUCAUAUAUCAAAAUAGAAGAGGAAUAAAAUAUAAAGACAAGAUAUAAAGGCGUGUUUUGCCUAACAUAAUUUUAGCAAACACAAUUUGAGUUGGCUGUAGCUAAGGCCCAGACCCGACCCAAUCUUUUUUAUAUGUUGGGCUGGAUCUAUCACAGCUAUAUUAACUAGUCCAGUAAACACACAAUUUUUAUUUGAACAUAGGUGACAAAAGAAAAGGUACAUUUGGAUUCUUGAAACUUCUCUAGCUUCCAAGUUCCAGGAGAAUUAUAGAGACAAUAACUCAAGAACAUCAAUAGCCAUAAUCUACAAUUUAUUAAUGGAGCUAUCUGACUUAUUGAAUGUUGGAAACUGAUUGUGGUCUGACUUUAAUUGCUGUUAGUGUAGUUCUCGAUCUGCAAUGAGAUCACAGUCUGGGAUUGAUCCAUGGGAGGACUUGCAUUCUUGCAGAAAGAUUGUGAUGAUUCGCCUAACAAGUAGUCUGUUUCCUCGCUAUUUUGCUGAGCCAAUGAUUUCUGAUGAAGAGCUUUCAGCUUAGCAAGCUCAUCGGACACUUCUUUCAUGGCUGGCCGGUUUACUCCCAUGCUAUUUAGACAUCCUUUUGCAAGCUCAGCUACAGCUUCUAUCUCGUCCAUUUCACCUUCAUCAGCUGUCUGGAAAUCCAACAUUUUGAAGAGAUGAUUAUUUUCCAGUGCUGAGAUGAAGUGUUGAAUAACGUUCCGUUUCUCUCCAGACUUGGAAAUGGAGUAUGGCUUUUCUCCAGCGAGAAGCUCCACAAGAACUACCCCAAAGCUAUAGAC